CGCCUACGGGGGGCAGCAGUGGGGAAUAUUGCACAAUGGGGGAAACCCUGAUGCAGCAACGCCGCGUGAGUGAAGAAGUCAUUCGUGAUGUAAAGCUCUAUCAGCAGGGAAGAAAAUGACGGUACCUGAGUAAGAAGCCCCGGCUAACUACGUGCCAGCAGCCGCGGUAAUACGUAGGGGGCAAGCGUUAUCCGGAUUUACUGGGUGUAAAGGGAGCGUAGACGGCCAGACAAGUCUGAAGUG
rnacentral:rRNA from 1 species